CUUUUUGUGCAUAAUGUAUAUAUAGGGGGGUGGUAGUACUCUUGGGGUAGAGAGGCAUGUGCUGGGAUGGCAUGCCAAGGCAUGUGCUGGGAUGGCAUGCCUUGGUGUGUGCUGGGAUGGCAUGCCAAGGACAAGCAUGUGCUAGGAAGGCAUGCCAAGGCCAAGCCAAGGCCAAGGCAAGCACAUGCAUUGUGAGCGAGAUGAGACGGUUGUCUUUACCCCAAGAGUGCCCAAGGGAGAGGAAAGAGGUGUCAAACGCAUGCUGAGCCCCACUUCGGUAGUUUGGCACCCCCAUAGGCAUUCAGGCAAGCGUGCCUAUGGGUAAAGUCGGUAGAGCUUGUCAGCCAUGUUGGGUACUAUUGUUUGGACGAGAUGAUGGCACACGUCAAGCUUGCUUUAAGGUAACGUUUUGGCAGCACAGCCAGCCCGCAAUUGCUAGUUCAAGCGGGUGGAAUCUGCCUAUAGGGGCGUUGCUCGCUUGCUUGCUGUGGAAUUGGGCACGCCCAAUAUGUAUCAUCGACCCACGUAGUUCCUGCAUGGCCCCAUAGGUAUUCAGGCAAGCGUGCCUAUGGGUAAAGUCGGUAGAGCUUGUCAGCCAUGUUGGGUACUAUUGUUUGGACGAGAUGAUGGCACACGUCAAGCUUGCUUUAAGGUAACGUUCUGGCAGCACAGCCAGCCCGCAAUUGCUAGUUCAAGCGGGUGGAAUCUGCCUAUAGGGGCGUUGCUUGCUUGCUUGCUGUGGAAUUGGGCACGCCCAAUAUGUAUCAUCGACCCACGUAGUUCCUGCAUGGCCCCAUAGGUAUUCAGGCAAGCAUGCCUAUGGGUAAAGUCGCUUGAGCUUGCCAACACCCAUGUUAGCUGUAGUCUGGACCGAUGAUGGCACAAGGAUGCUUGCUUUAAGGUAACAUUCCGGCAGCACAGCCAGCCCGCAAUUGCUAGUUCAAGCGGGUGGAAUCUGCCUAUAGGGGUGUUGCUUGCUUGCUGUGGAUUUGGGACACGCCCAAUAUCUAUCAUCGACCCAACGAACUGGCCAACAUGGGUUGCUGAGGGCUAUUUGGCACUGACGGUUCACUUGUUUGCUUGGCUCUGAUAAACGUUUAGAUGUCAUGAUGCUUGGGAUCCAAUAAAUUUAUGUGGGAAGCUGAGAGCUGGAACCCAAUGUCAUUCACCAGACGGCUUAGCUUCGUCAGUGUGUAUAAUAUGUCAUUGAACCCCAAUCCUCGAUGCCAACCUGAUUAUGACUUUUGGAUUGCAAUUAUCAUGGCUAUCAAAAACUGAGUAGGAGUCAUGGAAUAAGUGAACAAUUUGUAGCUUUUAUAGCUGUCAGCUUUCGCAUCGCCCGGUGUGUUUUGGGAAUCGCUUUGUGCGUUUGGUUGCCUGCCGUGCCUCUUGGCAUACGGUGGGUGCCACUUGCCGGGUGGUUUUCGGAAACAUCCACCGUAAAGGUGCAUGAGUGGUGUUUGGUUUGUUACGGGUGGUUGGCUCUUUGCUUGCGCAACAACUUCCACCCGACUUACCUCUUCAGAUGUUUGCCUAGGCUUGUAUAGCCUAAGCAGAUUGUGGGUUUCCUGUGUUGCCUACCUACGUCACGGAAUUGUCCCGAUUGAUCAAAGUUGCUUUCGUCUUGUGCCGUCUUGAUGGCAUAAGAUGAACCAUGAAGCUAUCUCUUUGCACCGCAUUGUUAAUGCAUGCGUUGAUGUUGUGGCCCAUUGAGCAUUGCUUGGUACCUUGGAUACGGAACCUUAUGUGGGCAUGGGUCCUUGGGGAUCCUUGUUCUGCCCUCGUUUAGCGUUCGCGCUUCUCUUAGGAUGACUGCCUAGCUGCAAUGGCAACCCAUUGUGGAUGGGUAUUGUCAAAGAGGAAUGC
rnacentral:misc_RNA from 1 species